CCUACGGGGGGCUGCAGUGGGGGAUAUUGCACAAUGGGGGAAACCCUGAUGCAGCGACGCCGCGUGUGGGAAGACGGUCUUCUGGAUUGUAAACCACUGUCCCCAGGGACGAAAAUGACGGUACCUGGGGAGGAAGCUCCGGCUAACUACGUGCCAGCAGCCGCGGUAAUACGUAGGGAGCAAGCGUUGUCCGGAAUUACUGGGUGUAAAGGGAGCGUAGGCGGGGAUGCAAGUUGGGUGUCAAAACUACCGGCUCAACCGAUAGUCGCACUCAAAACUGCAGCUCUUGAGUGAAGUAGAGGCAGGCGGAAUUCCUAGUGUAGCGGUGAAAUGCGUAGAUAUUAGGAGGAACACCAGUGGCGAAGGCGGUCUGCUGGACAGCAACUGACGCUGAGGCGCGAAAGCGUGGGGAGCAAACAGGAUUAGAUACCCCAGUAGUC
rnacentral:rRNA from 1 species